CUUGCUCCAUGAUUCAGCGGCGGACGGGUGAGUAAUGCCUAGGAAUCUGCCUGGUAGUGGGGGACAACGUUUCGAAAGGAACGCUAAUACCGCAUACGUCCUACGGGAGAAAGUGGGGGAUCUUCGGACCUCACGCUAUCAGAUGAGCCUAGGUCGGAUUAGCUAGUUGGUGAGGUAAAGGCUCACCAAGGCGACGAUCCGUAACUGGUCUGAGAGGAUGAUCAGUCACACUGGAACUGAGACACGGUCCAGACUCCUACGGGAGGCAGCAGUGGGGAAUAUUGGACAAUGGGCGAAAGCCUGAUCCAGCCAUGCCGCGUGUGUGAAGAAGGUCUUCGGAUUGUAAAGCACUUUAAGUUGGGAGGAAGGGCAGUAAGUUAAUACCUUGCUGUUUUGACGUUACCAACAGAAUAAGCACCGGCUAACUUCGUGCCAGCAGCCGCGGUAAUACGAAGGGUGCAAGCGUUAAUCGGAAUUACUGGGCGUAAAGCGCGCGUAGGUGGUUCGUUAAGUUGGAUGUGAAAGCCCCGGGCUCAACCUGGGAACUGCAUCCAAAACU
rnacentral:rRNA from 1 species